CAAUACCGCCUUGAGAAUGCCCAGUCUCGUCUGACCUCUGAAGCUAAGCAGGGUUGGCCUUGUUAGUACUUGGAUGGAAGACUGUUGGGAAUACCAGGUG
rnacentral:rRNA from 1 species